AGGAUCCUUUUUGUUUCCCUGCACUGUAGGAGCUGGUGGAACUGGCACAUGCCUAAUCCUGUGUUUUAGAAAAUAGGAACAACAUGAACCUGCGAAAGGGAAAAGGGUUUUGUGUUUCUUCUCGUCUUUGGCACCUGCAUGUGCUGAAGGCUGUGCACAUGCUGUAUCUCCUGUACUGCUCCUGCACUGACUCUAGGUCGUAUCUCUAGUGGUAUGUCAUCAGUGCUACAAAAUUCCUAAACAUUUACUGGGAAUAGUAGUCUUGCUGUUUCUGAACUGAAGCUUAGAAAUUGCAUCACGAUCAGGUAUGCAAGUAUACCUGUAGCUAUAAAUUAAGCAAAAUAUGUGUACAUCUAUGUUGUCUCUUCACUGAAGGAAGAAUCACCUUUCUCCUUCCCAAACCCAUGUCUUUCUCAGAUAAGAUGACAUGCUAUGAAUACUCUCCUAUCAUAUAAAAAGAUGUGCCUGCCUCUGUCUCCUUGUAAUGUUUCAUCACCUUCUUCAUUCACUUAAAAUAUGUAGUAAUUUUUAAAUCACAAGAGACUUUUUUGUAUUAUUUGGGAUGGGCUAAGCAGAGGUAAAACUAGUAAUUCCUAUCACUUUAAUUAUUUUCUCUUCUAACAGAAACUUCAGCCUUCCAGCUACUUGUGAGGCAGCAAUAUGUGCGUACCCUUAUGACUGACUGUACCUCUGUGUUUUGUUGCUGGUUUUAAGGUAGUUGAAGAAAAAAAUGUAUUUAUGGGAAAUCAGGUGGUCCCCACAUGGUUGUCUGAUCUAAAGGAGCAAGUGGAAAACAAGGCGCAGAGGCUGGCCUAACUCUAUCGGCUGACAAGUUGGGAAAUGCAGAGUGACACUGGGUUCAGGGCAAUCCAGUGCAAGAGCAAUGUGGGAAAGGGGACAGCAUAUUGAGCAAAUUAAAGCCAUCAUGAAGCAGAGGAAUAAGAACAUUCCACAGAGGACAACAUGUACAAGCAGAUUAGUUAUGUUUUCCUACGGUCCUCCUUCCCUGAUGCACUCGUGUGAGUGUAGUUUGUUCUCAAACAGAGAAGAAGUGAUUUCACCAGCUCCUGUGGGCAAAAUUCCAGCCUAAAGCCAACUUGUGCAUCUUUGCUGGAGCUUGUGUGGUCUGAAUUAGGAGUGGCAGAAGAAGCAGUCUCCCCUUCCUGUAACGAGCAGGAUGGCAAUGCAGGUAUCCGAUGGGUCUGUUGGUUGUCAUGGCACUCAGUGCAAAGGAGCGGAGCUGUCCCAGCCCCGCGCUGGGGGAAUUCAAAAUGAAAAUAAGGACAAUUAGCAUGAUCCUUCAGGAUUUCCUUUUCCCCAGCUGCAUUUGCAAAUACAUAUUUACAUUUAUGGGAUGGAAUUCAGUGACAAGAAUGAUCUGAAAUUAAAUUAUGAGAUGGACUGCUUGGAACAGUCAGCUGUAGAAAGAAAGCAGAGUAAGAGAGAACAAUCUAUCCAGGAUGCUGCCAGGCCAGGCUGCAGAGAAGCAACAAUCUAUAUUCAUUAAAGAUAUUUAAUAAUUUUCUAAAAAAAUAAAUGUAAAAAAUAUCUCAAGUCAGGAAAUAUGAACCUUAUAUUGAUUAAGCAUUUGAAAAGGGAUUUUUCUCAAUAAAGGAAACCAUAUUUUCUACUCA